GCUGACUCUACCACAAAUGCUAGAUUAGUAUUGAAGGCACAUGACUUGGAGCAAAUAACUGGUCUGACUAUGCUCGAGUUGAUAACAGAUUGCUCCGCCAACCAUAUGGCCAAGCAUGGAGCAACUUUCCACAAUAGGAUCAGCCGCAUUAAAGAUGCCUUGUGCACGUUUGAAGUGGAAGCCCCGGUUUAUAGUGGCACAAACAGCACAGAUGAAAUCAUAAUCACUGCCAUUGUUGAGGCAGAAAAACUGGUUGGAAAGCGGAAGCCAAGUCACUGUUUGGCGCUCUCUGAUGAAAAGAGGCAGCGGAUGGGACGACCUCAUGACACUUUUUAGCUCGGCUCGACGAAAAUACUGGCUUCCAGAGUGGUUAUCGAUCUUAUUUACAGAAUACAUUAAUUAUGGCUUAUUUAAAAUCUUCAGACUUUUACUACAAAUGAUAGGGACCUGCUCUCAUAAGAUUUUCUUGUUUGCAA